UACGGGGGGGGCGAGCGUUGUUCGGAAUUACUGGGCGUAAAGGGCGCGUAGGCGGUUCAUUAAGUUGGAUGUGAAAACUCUGGGCUUAACCCAGAGCCUGCAUUCAAAACUGAUGGGCUGGAGUUCUGGAGGGGAUAGCGGAAUUCCUGGUGUAGCGGUGAAAUGCGUAGAUAUCAGGAGGAACACCGGUGGCGAAGGCGGCUAUCUGGACAGAAACUGACGCUGAGGCGCGAAAGCUAGGGGAGCAAACAGG
rnacentral:rRNA from 1 species